UACAGAGGGUGCGAGCGUUAAUCGGAAUUAUUGGGCGUAAAGGGCGCGUAGGUUGUUUGUCAAGUGAGAUGUGAAAGCCCUGGGCUUAACCUAGGAAUUGCAUCUUAAACUGAUGAACUGGAGUACUGUAGAGGGUAGUGGAAUUUCCGGUGUAGCGGUGAAAUGCGUAGAUAUCGGAAGGAACACCAGUGGCGAAGGCGGCUACCUGGACAGAUACUGACACUGAGGCGCGAAAGCGUGGGGAUCAAACAGG
rnacentral:rRNA from 1 species